AGAAAGUGUUAACACAGAAGUUAAAGAUGUAGAUUUCUAGGACUCAUCCCCAGAGACUUCUGUUCAGGAAGUCUGGGGCUGGAGCCCAGGCAUCUGCAUUUUAACAACGCCCCAAGUGAUUCUGAUGCA
rnacentral:miRNA from 1 species